UCGCGUAGUCGGAAAAAUGCAUCAUAAACGGAGCGAGUUCCUCCCUCACAGCUAUUAGGCGUUUGGAGAAAUAGGUAAACCGCCAGAUUCACUUAAAUCUAUGCGGGCCAGCUUCAUUGCUCGCCAUACAAUCGCAUUUUCGAAACCAAGUUUGGCUUGGCAAGUAAUAUUAGAGCGUUCCAUGUUCCUAAUUAAAAAUAUUUGGAGGAGUCGCCAUCGUCGGACACGGCGAGGACUUACUUAUAUUUGUGCGUAAACCCUUUAGUUAUUCAUUAUUACCACUUGCCAGAAACGUUGUUUUUAAUUUAAGAUCAGGGUGUUCGCAUUUCGCAAACUUAAAUUUAAUUGCAUUUCUUGCGCACAUUAUACCUACCUAUAUAAUAUUAUAGACCCUGUAAGAGUACAUCAAUCUCGUUCAUAGUUUGCAAUUGAAUAACUAACCAUUAUACCUAAUGAGAUUAUAAUAUUUACCAUAAGUUAACUUGUUUUAUAGACAUAUUUAACCGACUGUGUUUAAUAAAAAAUAUCACAGGUAAGUAGGCACUACUUAAAAGUAUCAACUUAUUUACAGGUGAAAGAAGUGUGCACUCUUGUCAGUCUGGUAAAGUGAUGAAAAAUCUGAAAAAGUCACGGGUAUAUGCAGUCAUUGCAUAGGCAGUUUGCUCAAUAUUGGCUUUGAGCAUAACAAUUUGGCCUCCAGGUUUCUUGCUGAUUUCCUGCUGGGACUUGCAGUGUACGGAGUCAGUUACACUUCUCUGACCAAUAUUCACAGCUGUUCACAGGCCACAGCUUUUCUUCCAAAGCCUGGAGUUAUUCAACAAUAACAGUGGCUAAUGAUGGUACUUUCAGGAUCUGAAAAGAUGCAAUAAUUUGAAUAAAAGUAUUUUUGUAUUCAACAA